rnacentral:sRNA from 1 species
AUACGGUGGAGAAAAUCUGAACAA